rnacentral:misc_RNA from 1 species
UGUAGGAGUGAGCCUGCUCGCGAUAACGGUGUGUCAGCAACGCAAAUGUUGGCUGACGGACGCGAUCGCGAGCAGGCUCACUCCUACA